GGGAGUGACACAGUAAGGUAGGUCAGCACGCGAUUGGAAGUGCGUGUUUAAGCAUGUAGGUUGAGUUAUAGGCAAAUCCGUAACUCUAAAAGCUGAGAUGUGAUGACGAGCUGUUUACAGCGAAGUGAUUGAUCCUACACUGUCGAGAAAAGCUUCUAGGUAGAGACACAUCGCCCGUACCCAAACCGACACAGGUAGGCGGGGAGAGAAUCCUAAGGUGCGCGGGAAAACCCUCGUUAAGGAACUCGGCAAAAUGCCUCCGUAACUUCGGGAAAAGGAGGACUCAUGUAGUGUGAAGGGCAGUAACGCGUGGAGCAUGAAUGAGUGGCACAAGAGAGGCGCAAGCGACUGUUUACCACAAACACAGGUGCCUGCUAAAGCGAAAGCUGAUGUAUAGGUGCUGACACCUGCCCGGCGCUGGAAGGUUAAGAGGAGGGGUUAGACUUCGGUCGAAGCUCUGAAUUGAAGCCCCAGUAAACGGCGGCCGUAACGAUAACGGUCCUAAGGUAGCGAAAUUCCUUGUCGGGUAAGUUCCGACCCGCACGAAAGGUGUAACGACUUGCGCACUGUCUCAACGAGGGACCCGGUGAAAUUGAAGUACCUGUGAAGAUGCAGGUUACCCGCGACUGGACAGAAAGACCCCAUGGAGCUUUACUGCAACCCAAGAUUGAACUUAGUUAAUGAAUGUACAGGAUAGGUGGGAGACUUAGAAUCUAGGGCGCCAGUCUUAGAGGAGUCGUUGUUGGGAUACCACCCUUUGAUUAAUUGAUUUCUAACAGGCCGAUUAACAACCGGCUGGACAGUCUUAGGCGGGCAGUUUGACUGGGGCGGUCGCCUCCUAAAGAGUAACGGAGGCGCCCAAAGGUUCCCUCAGAGCGGACGGAAAUCGCUCGAAGAGUGUAAAGGCAGAAGGGAGCUUGACUGCGAGACGGACAGGUCGAGCAGGGACGAAAGUCGGGCUUAGUGAUCCGGUGGUGCCGAGUGGAAGGGCCAUCGCUCAACGGAUAAAAGCUACCCUGGGGAUAACAGGCUAAUCUCUCCCAAGAGUCCAUAUCGACGGGGAGGUUUGGCACCUCGAUGUCGGCUCAUCACAUCCUGGGGCUGAAGUUGGUCCCAAGGGUUCGGCUGUUCGCCGAUUAAAGUGGUACGUGAGCUGGGUUCAGAACGUCGUGAGACAGUUCGGUCCCUAUCCAUCGCGGGCGCAAGAAACUUGAAGGGGGCUGCUCCUAGUACGAGAGGACCGGAGUGGACGAACCGCUGGUGUACUAAUUAUCCUGCCAAGGGUACAGUUGGGUAGCUACGUUCGGGACGGAUAAACGCUGAAAGCAUCUAAGCGUGAAACCAGCCUUGAGAUGAGGUUUCUCAUAGCAUAAGCUAGUAAGAUCCCAUGUAGACGACAUGGUUGAUAGGCCAGGUGUGGAAGAGCUGUGAGGCUUGGAGCUGACUGGUACUAAUAGAUCGAGGGCUUUACUC
rnacentral:rRNA from 1 species